rnacentral:rRNA from 1 species
GAUGAACGCUGGCGGCGUGCCUAAUACAUGCAAGUCGAGCGAACAGAUGAGGAGCUUGCUCCUCUGACGUUAGCGGCGGACGGGUGAGUAACACGUGGAUAACCUACCUAUAAGACUGGGAUAACUUCGGGAAACCGGAGCUAAUACCGGAUAAUAUAUUGAACCGCAUGGUUCAAUAGUGAAAGACGGUUUUGCUGUCACUUAUAGAUGGAUCCGCGCCGCAUUAGCUAGUUGGUAAGGUAACGGCUUACCAAGGCAACGAUGCGUAGCCGACCUGAGAGGGUGAUCGGCCACACUGGAACUGAGACACGGUCCAGGCUCCUACGGGAGGCAGCAAUAGGGAAUCUUCCGCAAUGGGCGAAAGCCUGACGGAGCAACGCCGCGUGAGUGAUGAAGGUCUUCGGAUCGUAAAACUCUGUUAUUAGGGAAGAACAAAUGUGUAAGUAACUAUGCACGUCUUGACGGUACCUAAUCAGAAAGUCACGGCUAACUACGUG